rnacentral:rRNA from 1 species
UACGUAGGGGGCUAGCGUUGUUCGGAUUUAUUGGGCGUAAAGAGCGUGUAGGCGGCCAGGUAGGUCUGCUGUGAAAACUCGAGGCUCAACCUCGAGACGUCGGCGGAAACCAUCUGGCUAGAGUCCGGAAGAGGAGAGUGGAAUUCCUGGUGUAGCGGUGAAAUGCGCAGAUAUCAGGAAGAACACCCGUGGCGAAGGCGGCUCUCUGGGACGGUACUGACGACUGGAGGCGCGAAAGC